GUCAAAACGAAAGCGUUCAUCUGGUCCAGGAAGAAGAAGAAGCUAGACGAAGAGGAACACAGGAUGAAGGAGCAAUUCUGAAAUAUUUUGGAUCCACAGACCAGGAAGCAGCUCGACCGCCUUCAGCACCACCGGACCAGGAAGUUUAAGAGCAAUUCUGAAAUAUUUUGGAUCCACAGACCAGGAAGCAGCUCGGCCGCCUUCAGCACCACCGGACCAGGAAGUUUAAGUAAAAAUGUUUUACAGUUUAAAAUAAAUAUAUUUAGGGAACACUGCAUCAGUUCCAUGUACUGACCUAUAGAGGAUCCACACUGUUCACCUUAUAUUAUCAGUUCAACCUGCUUGG